AAAGUCGUAACAAGGUUUCCGUAGGUGAACCUGCGGAAGGAUCAUUAUCGAAUUUAAAGCUUGGUUGAGCUGCCACUUCGGUGGAUGUGCUUGCCUCGCCGUCUAUUCUCAACACCUGUGCACACUUAGCGGUUUUUCUCUUUAGGCGGGGGGGUUAAAGGGUUCUGGUAACAGAUCCUUUUUUCUCUCUUUGUUUUGAGGAGAGAAGCUUGCGCCUUUUAUAAUACCCCCUUUUAAAACAGUCAAUGAACGCAAAUGUAGGCACACUGUAAAACGUGAUUGCUGAAUUAAAUUAUACAACUUUUAACAACGGAUCUCUUGGCUCUC
rnacentral:misc_RNA from 1 species